rnacentral:rRNA from 1 species
CCCCUGGUAGUCCACGCUGUAUAACGAUGUCUGUACUUUGGAGGUUGUUCCCUUGAGGAGUGGCUUCCGGAGCUAACGCGUUAAGUCGACCGCCUGGGGAGUACGGCCGUCAAGUGUUAAANACUCAUAAUGUAAUUGACGGGGGCCCGCACAAGCGGUGGAGCAUGUGGUUUAAUUCGAUGCAACGCGAAGAACCUUACCUACUCUUGACAUCCAGAGAACUUAGCAGAGAUGCUUUGGUGCCUUCGGGAACUCUGAGACAGGUGCUGCAUGGCUGUCGUCAGCUCGUGUUGUGAAAUGUUGGGUUAAGUCCCGCAACGAGCGCAACCCUUAUCCUUUGUUGCCAGCGAUCCGGCCGGGAACUCAAAGGAGACUGCCAGUGAUAAACUGGAGGAAGGUGGGGAUGACGUCAAGUCAUCAUGGCCCUUACGAGUAGGGCUACACACGUGCAUACAAUGGCACUAUACAUAAGAGAUAGCGACCUCGUCGAGAGCAAGGCG